rnacentral:misc_RNA from 1 species
AAUUAUUCACCCUUGUCUUUUGCGUACUUCUUGUUUCCUUGGUGGGUUCGCCCACCACUAGGACAAACAUAAACCUUUUGUAAUUGCAAUCAGCGUCAGUAACAAAUUAAUAAUUACAACUUUCAACAACGGAUCUCUUGGUUCUGGCAUCGAUGAAGAACGCAGCGAAAUGCGAUAAGUAGUGUGAAUUGCAGAAUUCAGUGAAUCAUCGAAUCUUUGAACGCACAUUGCGCCCUUUGGUAUUCCAAAGGGCAUGCCUGUUCGAGCGUCAUUUGUACCCUCAAGCUUUGCUUGGUGUUGGGCGUCUUGUCUCUAGCUUUGCUGGAGACUCGCCUUAAAGUAAUUGGCAGCCGGCCUACUGGUUUCGGAGCGCAGCACAAGUCGCACUCUCUAUCAGCAAAGGUCUAGCAUCCAUUAAGCCUUUUUUCAACUUUUGACCUCGGAUCAGGU